AAGCGGAGGAAAAGAAACCAACAGGGAUUGCCCCAGUAACGGCGAGUGAAGCGGCAACAGCUCAAAUUUGAAAUCUGGCCCCCAGGGUCCGAGUUGUAAUUUGCAGAGGAUGCUUUUGGCAAGGUGCCUUCCGAGUUCCCUGGAACGGGACGCCAUAGAGGGUGAGAGCCCCGUCUGGUUGGAUACCGAGCCUCUGUAAAGCUCCUUCGACGAGUCGAGUAGUUUGGGAAUGCUGCUCUAAAUGGGAGGUAUAUGUCUUCUAAAGCUAAAUAUUGGCCAGAGACCGAUAGCGCACAAGUAGAGUGAUCGAAAGAUGAAAAGCACUUUGAAAAGAGGGUUAAAUAGUACGUGAAAUUGUUGAAAGGGAAGCGCUCAUGACCAGACUUGGGCCCGGUGAAUCAUCCAGCGCUCGUCGCUGGUGCACUUUGCCGGGCUCAGGCCAGCAUCAGUUCGCUCCGGGGGACAAAGGCUCUGGGAAUGUGGCUCCUCCGGGAGUGUUAUAGCCCACUGCGCAAUACCCUGGGGCGGACUGAGGUUCGCGCAUUCGUGCAAGGAUGCUGGCGUAAUGGUCAUCAGUGACCCGUCUUGAAACACGGACCAAGGAGUCGUCUUCGUAUGCAAGUGUUCGGGUGUAAAACCCCUACGCGUAAUGAAAGUGAACGCAGGUGAGAGCUUCGGCGCAUCAUCGACCGAUCCUGAUGUUCUCGGAUGGAUUUGAGUAAGAGCAUACGGGGCCGGACCCGAAAGAAGGUGAACUAUGCCUGUAUAGGGUGAAGCCAGAGGAAACUCUGGUGGAGGCUCGCAGCGGUUCUGACGUGCAAAUCGAUCGUCAAAUAUGGGCAUGGGGGCGAAAGACUAAUCGAACCUUCUAGUAGCUGGUUUCCGC
rnacentral:rRNA from 1 species